rnacentral:rRNA from 1 species
AGUGAACGCUGGCGGUAGGCCUAACACAUGCAAGUCGAACGGCAGCACAGUAAGAGCUUGCUCUUACGGGUGGCGAGUGGCGGACGGGUGAGGAAUACAUCGGAAUCUACUUUUUCGUGGGGGAUAACGUAGGGAAACUUACGCUAAUACCGCAUACGACCUACGGGUGAAAGCAGGGGAUCUUCGGACCUUGCGCGAUUGAAUGAGCCGAUGUCGGAUUAGCUAGUUGGCGGGGUAAAGGCCCACCAAGGCGACGAUCCGUAGCUGGUCUGAGAGGAUGAUCAGCCACACUGGACCUGAGACACGGUCCAGCCUCCUACGGGAGGCAGCAGUGGGGAAUAUUGGACAAUGGGCGCAAGCCUGAUCCAGCCAUACCGCGUGGGUGAAGAAGGCCUUCGGGUUGUAAAGCCCUUUUGUUGGGAAAGAAAAGCAGCAGGUUAACACCCCGCUGUUCUGACGGUACCCAAAGAAUAAGCACCGGCUAACUUCGU